rnacentral:rRNA from 1 species
UACGAAGGGUGCAAGCGUUGCUCGGAAUUAUUGGGCGUAAAGGGUAGGUAGGUGGUGAUGUAUGUCUGGAGUGAAAGCCCCGAGCUUAACUUGGGAAGUGCUUUGGAAACGGCAUCACUAGAGUACUGGAGAGGUUCGUAGAAUUCCCGGUGUAGCGGUGAAAUGCGUAGAGAUCGGGAGGAAUACCAGAGGCGAAGGCGACGAACUGGACAGUGACUGACACUCAACUACGAAAGCGUGGGUAGCAAACAGG